ACUAAUGUUGAAAAAUUAGCGGAUGACCUGUGGCUGGGGGUGAAAGGCCAAUCAAACCGGGAGAUAGCUGGUUCUCCCCGAAAGCUAUUUAGGUAGCGCCUCGUGAAUUCAUCUCCGGGGGUAGAGCACUGUUUCGGCUAGGGGGCCAUCCCGGCUUACCAACCCGAUGCAAACUGCGAAUACCGGAGAAUGUUAUCACGGGAGACACACGGCGGGUGCUAACGUCCGUCGUGAAGAGGGAAACAACCCAGACCGCCAGCUAAGGUCCCAAAGUCAUGGUUAAG
rnacentral:rRNA from 1 species